rnacentral:snRNA from 1 species
AGCUUUGCACAGUGGCAGUACCGUAGCCAAUGAGGUUUAUCCAAGGCGCAGUUAUUGCUAAUUGAAUCGUAUUGACAAAUGACAAAUGUAAAAAAUGUGUAAUUUUUGUUGGUGGAGUUUUUUCUGAAAA